GGGGAUGUGGCUCAAACAGUAGAGUGCUUGCCUGGCAUGCAUGUGGCCUGGGUUCGAUCCUCAGCACCACA
rnacentral:tRNA from 1 species